GAUGAACGCUGGCGGCGUGCUUAACACAUGCAAGUCGAACGGUGAAGCUCCAGCUUGCUGGAGUGGAUCAGUGGCGAACGGGUGAGUAACACGUGAGCAACCUGCCCCUGACUCUGGGAUAACAGCCGGAAACGGCUGCUAAUACCGGAUAUGCACCAUGAACGCAUGUUCUGUGGUGGGAAAGAUUUUUCGGUUGGGGAUGGGCUCGCGGCCUAUCAGCUUGUUGGUGAGGUAAUGGCUCACCAAGGCGUUGACGGGUAGCCGGCCUGAGAGGGUGACCGGCCACACUGGGACUGAGACACGGCCCAGACUCCUACGGGAGGCAGCAGUGGGGAAUAUUGCACAAUGGGCGAAAGCCUGAUGCAGCAACGCCGCGUGAGGGAUGACGGCCUUCGGGUUGUAAACCUCUUUUAGCAGGGAAGAAGCGAGAGUGACGGUACCUGCAGAAAAAGCGCCGGCUAACUACGUG
rnacentral:rRNA from 1 species